GAUGAACGCUGGCGGCGUGCCUAAUACAUGCAAGUCGGGCGAACGGACGAGAAGCUUGCUUCUCUGAUGUUAGCGGCGGACGGGUGAGUAACACGUGGAUAACCUACCUAUAAGACUGGGAUAACUUCGGGAAACCGGAGCUAAUACCGGAUAAUAUUUUGAACCGCAUGGUUCAAAAGUGAAAGACGGUCUUGCUGUCACUUAUAGAUGGAUCCGCGCUGCAUUAGCUAGUUGGUAAGGUAACGGCUUACCAAGGCAACGAUGCAUAGCCGACCUGAGAGGGUGAUCGGCCACACUGGAACUGAGACACGGUCCAGACUCCUACGGGAGGCAGCAGUAGGGAAUCUUCCGCAAUGGGCGAAAGCCUGACGGAGCAACGCCGCGUGAGUGAUGAAGGUCUUCGGAUCGUAAAACUCUGUUAUUAGGGAAGAACAUAUGUGUAAGUAACUGUGCACAUCUUGACGGUACCUAAUCAGAAGGCCACGGCUAACUACGUG
rnacentral:rRNA from 1 species